rnacentral:rRNA from 1 species
CCUACGGGUGGCAGCAGUGAGGAAUAUUGGUCAAUGGACGCUAGCCUGAACCAGCCAAGUCGCGUGAAGGAUGACUGCCCUAUGAGUUGUAAACUGCUUUUAUAUGAGAGUAAAGUGCAGUAUGUAUACUGCUUUGCAAGUAUCUUACGAAUAAGGAUCGGCUAACUCCGUGCCAGCAGCCGCGGUAAUACGGAGGAUUCGAGCGUUAUCCGGAUUUAUUGGGUUUAAAGGGAGCGUAGGCGGGCUGUUAAGUUAGUUGUGAAAGUUUGCGGCUCAACCGUAGAAUUGCAGUUGAUACUGGCAUGCUAGAGUACAGUAGCGGUAGGCGGAAUGCGUGGUGUAGCGGUGAAAUGCUUAGAUAUCACGAAGAACACCGAUUGCGAAGGCAGCCUGCUGGACUGUAACUGACGCUGAUGCACGAAAGCGUGGGUAGCAAACAGGAUUAGAUACCCUAGUAGUC